rnacentral:rRNA from 1 species
AUUGAACGCUGGCGGCAUGCCUUACACAUGCAAGUCGAACGGCAGCACGGGGCAACCUGGUGGCGAGUGGCGAACGGGUGAGUAAUGCAUCGGAACGUACCCUUCAGUGGGGGAUAACGUAGCGAAAGGUACGCUAAUACCGCAUAUUCUGUGAGCAGGAAAGCAGGGGAUCGCAAGACCUUGCGCUGAUUGAUCGGCCGAUGUCAGAUUAGCUAGUUGGUGAGGUAAAGGCUCACCAAGGCGACGAUCUGUAGCGGGUCUGAGAGGAUGAUCCGCCAACCUGGAACUGAGACACAGGCCAGACUCCUACGGGAGGCAGCAGUGGGGAAUUUUGGACAAUGGGUGCAAGCCUGAUCCAGCCAUGCCGCGUGAGUGAAGAAGGCCUUCGGGUUGUAAAGAUCUUUCGGCCGGGAAGAAAUCGCGCGGGCUAAUACCCUGUGUGGAUGACGGUACCGGAAUAAGAAGCACCGGCUAACUACGUGCCAGCCGCCGCGGUAAUAC